rnacentral:rRNA from 1 species
ACUCCUACGGGAGGCAGCGGUGGGGAAUUUUCCGCAAUGGGCGAAAGCCUGACGGAGCAACGCCGCGUGAGGGAGGAAGGUCUUUGGAUUGUAAACCUCUUUUCUCAGAGAAGAAUACAAUGACGGUACCUGAGGAAUAAGCAUCGGCUAACUCCGUGCCAGCAGCCGCGGUAAUAC